rnacentral:misc_RNA from 1 species
UGGUUCUGGCAUCGAUGAAGAACGCAGCAAAAUGCGAUAAGUAGUGUGAAUUGCAGAAUUCAGUGAAUCAUCGAAUCUUUGAACGCACAUUGCGCCCCUUGGUAUUCCAUGGGGCAUGCCUGUUCGAGCGUCACUUACAUCCCUCAAGCACUGCUUGGUGUUGGGCGCCUGUCCUCCAGCGUCAAUCGCGUGGACUCGCCUUGAAGGUAUUGGCAGCGGUCCUGCCGGGUCUCCUAAUCGUGCAGCACUGUUCGCGCCUGCUGGAGCCCGCGUGGAUUUGGCAUCCAUAAAGCCCAAUCUUCUGAACUUGACCUCGGAUCAGGUAGGGAUACCCGCUGA